AUGGGCGAGACAGCCCUCCCGGAACCCCAUGAGAACAUCGGGAGGUGUGACUUUAUAGCCGGAUCCAAGCCCUGGAAGGUGCAGGGCCCCGAGCGGCCUCAGGCAGCCACCCUCUGCAGCCGCACCCGCUGGGAGGGAGGGGCCGUCGCUGACUCACUCGGCCUCCUGUUUGCUGAGGCCUCGCCACCUGGCCCUGGAGCAUCGUCAUGGCGACCUGUGCGGCAGGUGUCCCGGCUCUGCAAAGCCUCCCUAGAGCUCCUCAUCCUCGCUCGGCCUGGCGGGCCCCUCCCCUCCACAUUCACAUCCCCUUCUUCCCCCUGGGUCCUCUUCCUGGGUCCUCCCCGUCCCUCUGUGGUCCUCCCCGUCCCUCUGGGGCUCUGUUGUGCUCACAGCCCCCUCUCCCCCCACGUCCCCUCCUUCCCCCCGGGUCUCCCUCCUGGGUCCUCCCGUCCCUCUGAGGCUCUGUGGUCCUCAAGCCCAGGUCGCCCCCUCUUGGGGGAAGGUCCCCAGCUCUGCCUCGUCCGCUUGGCUCAGAGCCGAAUGCGUGCUCCCAGCCCCAAGCUCACCCACGGCCACGGGAUGAGAAGCAGGCUUCCUGGAGUGACGGCAGGCCCUGAGGGGCCAGCCCGAGCGGUGGUCCUCUCCGCUGCCCGUCACGUCCCCCAGCCCCCAGGCUUCCCCUUGAGCUCCCGCCAUCAACUCGGCAGUGAGACCCUGGGCCACGUGCCACCACCGCUCGGGGGACCCGCGCUGGGGCGUCAGCAGCACGGGGUCCCAGGCAAGCUCUCAGUUCACAUGGGCGCCACAGUCCACGCACACACUCAGGAGCCUGGGCCGACAGCCCGGGUGGAGGCCAGCUCCCUCGGGGGACACCCCCCCUGCCCCUCCCUCGUCCUGCCUCAUGGUCUGUCGGGGUCCAGCCCGGCCCCAGCUCCUCGGGUCCUUCCCCAGGGCUUUCCGAUGACUCUGGUUUUGUCUGGAGCCUGGACUCCAGUCUGCCGCCCACCCACCCUCCACGGAUGCCCGACAGGCCCUCGGCACUGUUCGUGA
rnacentral:lncRNA from 1 species